rnacentral:rRNA from 1 species
CCUGGCUCAGGACGAACGCUGGCGGCGUGCCUAAUACAUGCAAGUCGAGCGGACCGACGGGAGCUUGCUCCCUUAGGUCAGCGGCGGACGGGUGAGUAACACGUGGGUAACCUGCCUGUAAGACUGGGAUAACUCCGGGAAACCGGGGCUAAUACCGGAUGCUUGAUUGAACCGCAUGGUUCAAUCAUAAAAGGUGGCUUUUAGCUACCACUUACAGAUGGACCCGCGGCGCAUUAGCUAGUUGGUGAGGUAACGGCUCACCAAGGCGACGAUGCGUAGCCGACCUGAGAGGGUGAUCGGCCACACUGGGACUGAGACACGGCCCAGACUCCUACGGGAGGCAGCAGUAGGGAAUCUUCCGCAAUGGACGAAAGUCUGACGGAGCAACGCCGCGUGAGUGAUGAAGGUUUUCGGAUCGUAAAACUCUGUUGUUAGGGAAGAACAAGUACCGUUCGAAUAGGGCGGCACCUUGACGGUACCUAACCAGAAAGCCACGGCUAACUACGUGCCAGCAGCCGCGGUAAUACGUAGGUGGCAAGCGUUGUCCGGAAUUAUUGGGCGUAAAGCGCGCGCAGGCGGUUUCUUAAGUCUGAUGUGAAAGCCCCCGGCUCAACCGGGGAGGGUCAUUGGAAACUGGGGAACUUGAGUGCAGAAGAGGAGAGUGGAAUUCCACGUGUAGCGGUGAAAUGCGUAGAGAUGUGGAGGAACACCAGUGGCGAAGGCGACUCUCUGGUCUGUAACUGACGCUGAGGCGCGAAAGCGUGGGGAGCGAACAGGAUUAGAUACCCUGGUAGUCCACGCCGUAAACGAUGAGUGCUAAGUGUUAGAGGGUUUCCGCCCUUUAGUGCUGCAGCAAACGCAUAAG